GGACCAAUCAGAGCGCAGGGACCGGUAUAAACAAACCACAGUAGUCUCCUCCCUCCUAUCGCCCUCUUGGCCAGGUGACGGAACUGUGUCAGUCUUCCGCGUCAUUCACCCUGCAUGGUUGUUCGGCGCUGCUACAGAUCCCCGGCUGUCGGAGCCGCGUAGCUCCCUAACAUAGAGCGACCGCCACGAAGCUUGCCGAGCGGUCUGAUCGCCCGAGCUGUCUCCUUCACGGCGACGUCAGUAACUUGUUCACUCGCCCAAUUGGAACUGGGCGGUCGUACCGGAGGAUCUUGGCCACCGUUAGCAGUCCAACUAGCUGCUGUUUUGUCUAUACGGCUUCUACCUCGGUUUGCGUACAUGUGGGUUUUUUUUGGACUGCGUUGCCUCAAUUGUUUUCGGCCGGACCGCCUACACCGUUGUGCUCGGACGGCUUUACCCGGAUGAACAAUUUUAGUGUGACGUUCGAUCUUCCCCUUGACUUAUUGGGUCGACGGAGUUAUCUUGUUUUCUUUAUUGUUUAGUUUGUUCUGUAUUUUUGUUUCUUUAUAACCGGGUGAGUGAACCCGGUUGUAUGUACGCGUGUAACGUUUUAUUGUUUCUUUAUUCUUUUUAGAGCUGAACGCCGAAGUGGUGGUGUGGUGUCCCGGUGGUGGUAUCCCUUCGCUCGUUUGCUGUGGUCUUUCGUUUUCAUUUGUUUUGCUGUGCUCACUAUUUUGUUUUUGUGUUCACGGGUGUCUUCUCUUGAAACCUCCCCCGCUGCCCUCGUGUCCCCUCCACAACCACUGGUAAGCCUCAGCGUUCAUUAUUUUGUUAUUAUUUUGACCAUUAUUACCCCCAUUAAUUCACCUUUUGUUGUGGAGAUUGUGAGCGUGUUUUAAAUAGUUGUAUGGAUCCUGGUAUUUUAUUGUAAUAAACUUAACCCCCUUUUUGUACAUUGAA